rnacentral:rRNA from 1 species
UCGAGAAUUUUUCUCAAUGGGGGAAACCCUGAAGGAGCGACGCCGCGUGGAGGAUGAAGGUCUUCGGGUUGUAAACUCCUGUCAUUUGGGAACAAGUGCCGGUACGUAACUGCUACCGGCUUGAUAGUACCAGAAGAGGAAGAGACGGCUAACUCGGUGCCAGCAGCCGCGGUAAUACAGAGGUCUCAAGCGUUGUUCGGAUUCAUUGGGCGUAAAGGGUGUGUAGGUGGCGCCGUAAGUCGGGUGUGAAAUUUCGGAGCUUAACUCCGAAACUGCAUUCGAUACUGCGGUGCUUGAGGACUGGAGAGGAGACUGGAAUUCAUGGUGUAGCAGUGAAAUGCGUAGAGAUCAUGAGGAAGACCAGUGGCGAAGGCGGGUCUCUGGACAGUUCCUGACACUGAGACACGAAGGCCAGGGGAGCAAAC